UACGUAGGGUGCGAGCGUUGUCCGGAAUUACUGGGCGUAAAGAGCUCGUAGGUGGUUUGUCGCGUUGUCCGUGAAAACUCACAGCUCAACUGUGGGCGUGCGGGCGAUACGGGCAGACUGGAGUACUGCAGGGGAGACUGGAAUUCCUGGUGUAGCGGUGGAAUGCGCAGAUAUCAGGAGGAACACCGGUGGCGAAGGCGGAUCUCUGGGCCAUUACUGACGCUGAGGAGCGAAAGCGUGGGGAGCGAACAGG
rnacentral:rRNA from 1 species